rnacentral:tRNA from 1 species
GGGGUUGUGGCUCAGUGGUAGAGUGCUUACCUAGCAUGAAUGAAGCACUGGGUUCAAUCCUCAGCACCACA